CCUACGGGGGGCAGCAGUGAGGAAUAUUGGUCAAUGGGCGAGAGCCUGAACCAGCCAAGUCGCGUGAAGGAUGAAGGAUCUACGGUUUGUAAACUUCUUUUAUAUGGGAAUAAAGUGAGGAACGUGUUCCUUUUUGUAUGUACUAUAUGAAUAAGGAUCGGCUAACUCCGUGCCAGCAGCCGCGGUAAUACGGAGGAUGCGAGCGUUAUCCGGAUUUAUUGGGUUUAAAGGGAGCGUAGGUGGUUUAUUAAGUCAGUGGUGAAAGUUUGUGGCUCAACCAUAAAAUUGCAGUUGACACUGGUAGACUUGAGUAUAGUUGAGGUAGGCGGAAUGCGUGGUGUAGCGGUGAAAUGCGUAGAUAUCACGAAGAACUCCGAUUGCGAAGGCAGCUUACUAAACUAUAACUGACACUGAGGCACGAAGGCGUGGGGAUCAAACAGGAUUAGAUACCCUUGUAGUC
rnacentral:rRNA from 1 species